rnacentral:lncRNA from 1 species
AAAAGAAUCCUUAAGAAGUUGUAAAAAUAUGAGAAUAAUCACAAAUACAUCUUAAAUAAAUUUCAACCAAGUUUUAAUUUAAUCCUAAUUUAAAUUCCAAUGGACUUCAAUAAAAUCCUAAAAAAAUCUUAAAUUCUAAAUAAAAACAUAAAUUAAACCAUAAAUAAAUCUCAAAUUCUAAACGAAAUCCUAAAUCAAAUCCUAGACAAAUCUUAUAUCCUAAAUCAAACCCUAGAAAAAUCCUAUAUGCUAAACUAAAUCCUAAAUCAAAUCUUAGAUAAAUCUUAUAUCCUAAAUCAAAUCUUAGACAAAUCUUAUAUCCUAAAUUAAACCCUAGACAAAUCCUAUAUCCUAAAUCAAAUCCUAGAUAAAUCCUAUACCAUAAAUUAAAUCCUAGAUAAAUCUUAAAUCCUAAUCCAAAUCCUAAAUCAAAUCUUAAAUCAAAUCUAAGACAAAUCCUAAAUCUUAAACCAAAUCUUAGAUCAAAUCUUAAAUCUUAAACCAAAUCUUAAAUUAUAUUCUAAAUAAAUCUUAAAUCCUAGACAAAUCCUAAAUCCUAAAUCAAACUCUAAACAAAUUCUAAACCUUGAAUCAAAUCUUAGACAAAUCCUAAAUCCUAAACCAAAUCUUAGAAAAAUCCUAAAUCCUAAAUCAAAUCCUAAACCAAAUCCUAAUUCUACUUAAUCUAAUUCUAAUACAGUUUAAAAUCUUAGAAUCUAACAAUUAAACCAUUUAUCUUACUUAAAAACUUACACACCUUUCAACAACU